GGGGGUGACUUGGUUUCGACAGGGAUGCAGGGGAUCUCUGAUGCAUGCCGGGAAGGUUACCUACCCGUUAAAAUUGGUGACAACCAAAUGUAAACGCAAACGAUAACUUCGCACUGGCUGCUUAAUCCGCAGUCACGUCCUCUCGAGUUCUGCUGCCAGGCAAAAGAUCGGACGUCAUACAUGGCAGAUAUAGAACGUAAAUACCUAUAAUACGCUCCGAAAACCAAUAGGCUGGCCUGAGGGCAUGGUUUGACUGUUUUCCGGCCUUGAGGCGACAUAAAAAACAGCUAAGCAUGUAGAUUCGGAUUUUGACUCAUCUUUGGACGCGGGUUCGACUCCCGCCACCUCCACCA
rnacentral:tmRNA from 1 species